CAUGUAGGCGGUCUGUCAAGUCUGAUGUGAAAGCCCGGGGCUCAACCCCGGAAGUGCAUUGGAAACUGGCAGACUUGAGUACGGGAGAGGAAAGUGGAAUUUCGAGUGUAGGGGUGAAAUCCGUAGAUAUUCGAAGGAACACCAGUGGCGAGGGCGGCUUUCUGGACCGAUACUGACGCUGAGAUGCGAAAGCGUGGGGAGCAAACAGGAUUAGAUACCCUGGUAGUCC
rnacentral:rRNA from 1 species